UACGUAGGGCGCAAGCGUUUGUCCGGAAUUAUUGGGCGUAAAGAGCUCGUAGGCGGUGUGUCGCGUCGGCCGUGAAAACCUGCAGCUUAACUGUGGGCUUGCGGUCGAUACGGGCAUCACUGGAGUUCGGCAGGGGAGACUGGAAUUCCUGGUGUAGCGGUGAAAUGCGCAGAUAUCAGGAGGAACGACCGGUGGCGAAGGCGGGUCUCUGGGCCGAUACUGACGCUGAGGAGCGAAAGCGUGGGGAGCGAACAGG
rnacentral:rRNA from 1 species